GGUUCUAUGGUCUAAUUGAAGAUGUUGGAUUGCAAAUCUGAAGAUGUAUUUAUACUAGGACUU
rnacentral:tRNA from 1 species